GAUGAACGCUGGCGGCGUGCCUAAUACAUGCCAGUCGAGCGAACAGACGAGGAGCUUGCUCCUCUGACGUUAGCGGCGGACGGGUGAGUAACACGUGGAUAACCUACCUAUAAGACUGGGAUAACUUCGGGAACCCGGAGCUAAUACCGGAUAAUAUAUUGAACCGCAUGGUUCAAUAGUGAAAGACGGUUUUGCUGUCACUUAUAGAUGGAUCCGCGCCGCAUUAGCUAGUUGGUAAGGUAACGGCUUACCAAGGCGACGAUGCGUAGCCGACCUGAGAGGGUGAUCGGCCACACUGGAACUGAGACACGGUCCAGACUCCUACGGGAGGCAGCAGUAGGGAAUCUUCCGCAAUGGGCGAAAGCCUGACGGAGCAACGCCGCGUGAGUGAUGAAGGUCUUCGGAUCGUAAAACUCUGUUAUUAGGGAAGAACAAAUGUGUAAGUAACUAUGCACGUCUUGACGGUACCUAAUCAGAAAGCCACGGCUAACUACGUG
rnacentral:rRNA from 1 species